UAGCAGCACAUUAUGGUUUGUG
rnacentral:miRNA from 1 species